UGGGGAAUAUUGCACAAUGGGCGAAAGCCUGAUGCAGCAACGCCGCGUGAGUGAUGAAGGCCUUCGGGUUGUAAGGCUCUGUCUUUUGGGACGAUAAUGACGGUACCAAAGGAGGAAGCCACGGCUAACUACGUGCCAGCAGCCGCGGUAAUACGUAGGUGGCAAGCGUUGUCCGGAUUUACUGGGCGUAAAGGAUGCGUAGGCGGAUUUUUAAGUGAGAUGUGAAAACCCUAAGCUUAACUUGGGGACUGCAUUUCAUACUGGAAAUCUAGAGUGCGGGAGAGGAGAAUGGAAUUCCUAGUGUAGCGGUGAAAUGCGUAGAGAUUAGGAAGAACACCAGUGGCGAAGGCGAUUCUCUGGACCGUAACUGACGCUGAGGCAUGAAAGCGUGGGUAGCAAACAGGAUUAGAUACCCUGGUAGUCCACGCCGUAAACGAUGAGUACUAGGUGUAGGAGGUAUCGACCCCUUCUGUGCCGCAGUUAACACAAUAAGUACUCCGCCUGGGAAGUACGAUCGCAAGAUUAAAACUCAAAUGAAUUGACGGGGUCAUAGCUGUUUCCU
rnacentral:rRNA from 1 species